AUUGAACGCUGGCGGCAUGCCUUACACAUGCAAGUCGAACGGCAGCACGGGUGCUUGCACCUGGUGGCGAGUGGCGAACGGGUGAGUAAUACAUCGGAACAUGUCCUGUAGUGGGGGAUAGCCCGGCGAAAGCCGGAUUAAUACCGCAUACGAUCUACGGAUGAAAGCGGGGGACCUUCGGGCCUCGCGCUAUAGGGUUGGCCGAUGGCUGAUUAGCUAGUUGGUGGGGUAAAGGCCUACCAAGGCGACGAUCAGUAGCUGGUCCGAGAGGACGACCAGCCACACUGGGACUGAGACACGGCCCAGACUCCUACGGGAGGCAGCAGUGGGGAAUUUUGGACAAAGGGCGAAAGCCUGAUCCAGCAAUGCCGCGUGUGUGAAGAAGGCCUUCGGGUUGUAAAGCACUUUUGUCCGGAAAGAAAUCCUUGGCCCUAAUACGGUCGGGGGAUGACGGUACCGGAAGAAUAAGCACCGGCUAACUACGUG
rnacentral:rRNA from 1 species